UAGGGAAUCUUCCACAAUGGACGAAAGUCUGAUGGAGCAACGCCGCGUGAGUGAAGAAGGUUUUCGGACCGUAAAGCUCUGUUGUUGGUGAAGAAGGAUAGAGGUAGUAACUGGCCUUUAUUUGACGGUAAUCAACCAGAAAGUCACGGCUAACUACGUGCCAGCAGCCGCGGUAAUCGUAGGUGGCAAGCGUUGUCCGGAUUUAUUGGGCGUAAAGCGAGCGCAGGCGGAAGAAUAAGUCUGAUGUGAAAGCCCUCGGCUUAACCGAGGAAUUGCAUCGGAAACUGUUUUUCUUGAGUGCAGAAGAGGAGAGUAGAACUCCAUGUGUAGCGGUGGAAUGCGUAGAUAUAUGGAAGAAUACCAGUGGCGAAGGCGGCUCUCUGGUCUGCAACUGACGCUGAGGCUCGAAAGCAUGGGUAGCGAACAGGAUUAGAUACCCUGGUAGUCCAUGCCGUAAACGAUGAGUGCUAAGUGUUGGGAGGCUUCCGCCUCUCAGUGCUGCAGCUAACGCAUUAAGCACUCCGCCUGGGGGAGUACGACCGCAAGGUUGAAAC
rnacentral:rRNA from 1 species